rnacentral:rRNA from 1 species
CGAAGAGAAAAAGAACUUCGGUUCUUUUUUCUAGUGGCGGACGGCCGAUUAACGCGUAAGAACCUACCCCUUGGAGAGGGAUAGCCACUGGAAACGGUGAUUAAUACCUCGUAUGCUGAGGAGUGAAAGACCGUAAGGUCGCCAAGGGAUGGGCUUGCGUCUGAUUAGCUAGUUGGGUGGGGUAAAGGCCUCCCAAGGCGAUGAUCAGUAGCUGGUCUGAGAGGACAAUCAGCCACACUGGGACUGAGACACGGCCCAGACUCCUACGGGAGGCAGCAGUGAGGAAUUUUCCGCAAUGGGCGAAAGCCUGACGGAGCAAUGCCGCGUGGAGGAGGAAGGCCUGUGGGUCGUAAACUCCUUUUCUCAGAGAAGAAGUUCUGACGGUAUCUGAGGAAUAAGCAUCGGCUAACUCUGUGCCAGCAGCCGCGGUAAUACAGGGGAUGCAAGCGUUAUCCGGAAUUAUUGGGCGUAAAGCGUCCUGAGGUGGCUUACCCAGUCGACUGUGAAAGCUCAAGGCUUAACCUUGAAACGGCAGUCGAAACUUGUAAGCUUGAGUACGGUAGGGGCAGAGGGAAUUCCCGGAGGAGAGGUGAAAUUCGUAGAUAUCGGGAGGAAGGCCAAAGGCGAAAGCACUCUGCUGGGCCGAUUACUGACACUGACAGACGAAAGCUAGGGGAGCGAAAGGGAUUAGAUACCCCUGUAGUCCUAGCCGUAAACGAUGGAUACUAAGUGUUGCGCGACUCAAAACGUGCAGUGCUGCAGCUAACGCGGUAAGUAUCCCGCCUGGGGAGUAUGCCCCCAGGGUUGAAACUCAAAGGAAUUGACG